rnacentral:rRNA from 1 species
CCUACGGGUGACAGCAGAGAGGAAUAUUGGUCAAUGGCCGAGAGGCUGAACCAGCCAAGUCGCGUGAGGGAAGACGGCCCUACGGGUUGUAAACCUCUUUUGUCGGGGAGCAAAGAGAGUCACGUGUGACUCAUGGAGAGUACCCGAAGAAAAAGCAUCGGCUAACUCCGGGCCAGCAGCCGCGGUAAUACGGAGGAUGCGAGCGGUAGCCGGAUUGAUUGGGUUGAAAGGGUGCGCAGGCGGAGGUGCAAGUCAGCGGUCAAAUUGCGGGGCUCAACCCCGUACUGCCGUUGAAACUGCAUCCCUUGAGUGCGCGAGAAGUAUGCGGAAUGCGUGGUGUAGCGGUGAAAUGCAUAGAUAUCACGCAGAACUCCGAUUGCGAAGGCAGCAUACCGGCGCGCAACUGACGCUCAUGCACGAAAGCGUGGGUAUCGAACAGGAUUAGAUACCCUGGUAGUC